UUGCUAUUAGAAACCUAUAAGACAUACUAGCUGCAAAUAAUAUGUAUGGUGGUCAUAAAAGAGAUUUAAAUGGAAUAAAACUUGUGCAGAAGAAAUCAAGGAAAGCCAUUUUGAACUGCUGUUACUUAAUAGCUGUUAGAGGGGAUCCAGUUCUUCAUCAAUGGUAUACGCUGGGACAAUUGCUGUUAAAAAUCCACAAGCCGUACUAUCUGCAAAUAUUAUGGUGGACAUCAAAAAGCUUUAAAUGGAAUGAAACUUGCAGGAAAAGACUCAGAAAGACCAUUUAGGACUGUACUUAAUAGCUGUUAGUGUGGUCGCAGUCCUUCAUCACUGAUAUCUCUGCAUUUUCUUAACAAUGGAUAUCAACAGUUGCUCCUACUCCUCACUUUCCUCUUUCUCUCAACAUAAAGCAGACUCAAUACUCCUCAAUGCUUCACCAAGGUUCGUUAGCUUCAUUAAUAGUGUUAUUGUUUCAAUAAAUUUGUUUAUUGGUUUUUAUCCUCUUACUAUAUAAUUAUAUCAGGCGUCAUUUUAAUGUUAAUUUUUUGUAAAAUUUUGAUAAUCUGGAUAGAAACCUUUUUUUCUUAAGUUUUUGCAAUAUAAAACACUAGUUAAGAGCAAUACACCUUAUUUUAUGAAUAGGACCAUUAUCUCUGUUGAUAUUGUCUUUAUAUUUAUGCUUUGUGUUGCCUCUAGUUUGAGGGACGUUUGAUUAAUUUUAAAUCAUUCAAAUCAAUGCAAUAAUCUAUAUGUUGAGCAACAUGAUACUAAUCUGUUAUAAUUUUUCAUCUCAAGCUUUUUUCAAUCUCACCUAUCUUAUAUUUACUUCCAUUAGUUCAAUCAUUAAAUUGUUAUUAAAUAACUAUAAUUUGUAUUCUGGAUUUCGUCAAAGGUAUUUUUUAAAAGAAUUAAAAAACAAUCUUUAUAGGCUUGUAUCAUUUCCAAUUUAUGUUUAUCUUGUAUUAUUUAUAUUUUCCUAAGCUUCUCUAAGUUUAUUCCAUAUUAUCAAAAUUAUAAUUUUUAUACUUGCGCAGCUGCGUCACUAUAGCCCUAUGAACACAAGUAUUAUUUUGGUUUUAAAGUUUGUUUUUUAAUAUCUCAUUUAUUGUAUUAACGCAAAACUAAAUUUUAUAUAAUUUAACUAACUAUAUCUUCAACCGGAUGAUAAUUUAAUAGUUAAUGGUCAAUUUAAUA